rnacentral:rRNA from 1 species
GAUGAACGCUAGCUCCAGGCUUAACACAUGCAAGUCGAGGGACCGGCGCCCGGGUGUGUAACACGUAUCCAACCUUCCCUUUCCUCGGGGAUAGCCUUUCGAAAGAAAGAUUAAUACCCGCUACACAGGAUGGGGACGCGUUCUAUUAGGUUGUUGGUGAGGUAACGGCUCACCAAGCCUUCGAUGGAUAGGGGUUCUGAGAGGAGGUCCCCCACAUUGGAACUGAGACACGGUCCAAACUCCUACGGGAGGCAGCAGUGAGGAAUAUUGGUCAAUGGGCGGUAGCCUGAACCAGCCAAGUAGCGUGAAGGAUGAAGGCUUAUGGGUCGUGAACUUCUUUUAUAUAAGAAUAUGUAUUAUAUGAAUAAGGAUCGGCUAACUCCGUGCCAGCCGCCGCGGUAAUUC